rnacentral:rRNA from 1 species
UAUGAAGGGGGCUAGCGUUGCUCGGAAUCACUGGGCGUAAAGGGCGCGUAGGCGGCGUUUUAAGUCGGGGGUGAAAGCCUGUGGCUCAACCACAGAAUGGCCUUCGAUACUGGGACGCUUGAGUAUGGUAGAGGUUGGUGGAACUGCGAGUGUAGAGGUGAAAUUCGUAGAUAUUCGCAAGAACACCAGUGGCGAAGGCGGCUCACUGGCCCGAUACUGACGCUGAGGCACGAAAGCGUGGGGAGCAAACAGG